AAUGAACGCUGGCGGCAUGCCUAACACAUGCAAGUCGAGCGAGCGGCGGAGGGGUGAGUAAUAUAUGAAGACUGCCCGAUAGCGCGGGAUAAGUACUGGAAAUGGUGACUAAUACCGCAUACUGUAGGAUAACCCAUAUGGGAGUAGCUAGUAGGUAUGGUAAUGGCGUACCUAGGCGACGAUCCCGAGCUGGGCUGAGAGGAUGAUCGGCCACACGGGGACUGAGGGAGGGCCCAGCCUCCUACGGAGGCAGGAGGGGGGAAGAGUGCACAAUGGGCGCAAGCCUGAUGGAGCCAUGCCGCGUGUAUGAAGAAGGCCCUAGGGUUGUAAAGUACUGUCAGUCGGGAGGCGGUACCGAAAGAAGAAGCACCGGCUAACUCCGUGCCAGCAGCCGCGGUAAUUC
rnacentral:rRNA from 1 species